GGUGAGAUGGCCGAGCGGUCUAAGGCGCCAGACUAAGGUUCCGUUGGGUUUCAUGGCGUAUCUGGUCUCUUCGGGGGCGGGAGUUCGAAUCUCCCUCUCAUCA